rnacentral:misc_RNA from 1 species
AAGGAACCCAGAAGAUCGUGAG